UACGUAGGGGGCAAGCGUUGUUCGGAAUUACUGGGCGUAAAGGGCGCGUAGGCGGCACAGCAAGUCGGGAGUGAAAGCCCGGGGCUCAACCCCGGAAUGGCUUUCGAAACUGCUGAGCUAGAGUACAGAAGGGGCAACCGGAAUUCCCAGUGUAGCGGUGAAAUGCGUAGAUAUCAUUUGGAACGCCAAUGGAGAAAACAGGUUGCUGGGAGGGUGCUGACACUGAGACACGAAAGCCAGGGGAGCGAACGGG
rnacentral:rRNA from 1 species